rnacentral:lncRNA from 10 species
UUAGGCACUGAGCAUUUCACACAGAGAAAAAGUCAUCAGGCUCACUCCUUGAGGGAGGAAAUUGAGGCUCAGCAAGGUUAAGUCACAGUCUCCGAGGUCAGACUCUUGGAGUGGCGAGGCGGGGAUAUAAAAUCCAGGCUCCAGACACGAGCGCACAACCAUCACACCACGCUGUCCUGGUGCAGGAGGGCUGCGAAAGCUCUGGGUGAGGACUGGAGGGACACUGUUUCCCAGCAGCCACUGCGACCCCCAAUGCUCCUUGGCCCCCUACCCUCUCCCAGGCUCCUACAGUGGGCCCCUGCUUCUUUACGGAUGAGGUCUCCUGGAGCCCGGUACCACAGCCAGCCCCACCCUUGCUGGGCCCUGAGCCUGCACAGCUGGUCUUCAGGUCACUGGGCUUCAUGUGACUAUGGAGAAGUGACCCCUCCCCACCCGGUCCCCACCAGAGUCCUGCUUAGCCCGGCAGAGGAAAACGGCUGUGAGGGAAGGCACUAAAGAUAGCUGCCUCGCCAACUUCCCCAUCCUACUGGCCGCUGUCUCCUCCCCAGUGGGCUUCUCCAGCAGACCUCCACCCCAGGCCAUCCUUGAGCCUGGUCAGCCAGCCCGGGGCAUAAGCAGGGACCCAGGCGAUGGUCACCACCAUGGCCGCUGUUACUGAAGACUCACGGGCCCCAGGCACUGGGCCAGGCAGGACUGUGUGCCUUACUGCACAGAAACCCCUCAACAGGGGGCAGCAAGGAGCUGCCUGUCACCCCCACUUGAUAGAUGGGGAUCCAAGCACAGAGGAGGACCAGCUGGUGUGAAAGCCCCAGCUCAUCCUCAUGCCAGCAGCUGGGAACACACCUGGACAUUGACACGCCACGCCAUCUUCCCCCAUGGCCCAGGGCCUAUGGACACACUGGCUUGGCAACACCAGAGCCUAUGAUGAAGACACCAUGUCAUCCCCCAUCCAUCUGUGACACCAUCUCCACCCGCA